GUCCCAAGAUGUGUGAGUUGUGGAGCUCGUACCAUCAAUCGGUGUAGCUGGCCAAUUGAAACAGAUCGGUUCAACCUGAGUUUCCUCAGUGAAGGUGACCGCGCAACCAGCCUCUCCAAUGCAUCAAAAUUNGAUGGGGCAGUCGACGCAAUCAAAAAUCAGAGAUUCGAGACACAUUUCACUCUCUGGAAAACAUGAUAUCCAAUCAACUUCAUCAUCUGAUACCUCAGAUUCAAUCAGAUCAAGCACUCUCAGUUGUCUGCAC
rnacentral:misc_RNA from 1 species